CUAUGUCCGUACGCGGCCCGACUACCACAAUCUCCUCCUGGUAGAACCCUAAUCAUCCUCUACGCUCGCCUUCGUGAUCUCCGCUCUCCUUCGAUCGGCGCAGCUGCGCUCCAUCUUCUGUAACGGUUCUUCGAUAAUUAAUGGACUUAAAUCGUCUUAAAUCACCACUGCGAAGCUUCCUCCUGCGCUGCUCCUCUGCUAUAAAAAGAUCUCACCGGUACGUAUCGCGUUACCUACACUUUAGUACUCUCACGACUCAUUGAUACUCGAAUCUGACCCACCGCUCAGUUUGCAUUGCGGUUGUGUCAGCGAUCUCUUCUCAAUGCACAGAUCAUAGUGGCGUUGUGUCUUGCAGCGGCGAUUGAUGAUGUGGAGGAUCCGGUUCGGUUAAGGCAUGUGUUUCUUUCUAGGCUGAAGAGAGGUGAUGAAUCAGAAGAUGAACAGACCUGACUUUGUAGGUAUCAUAAUUUUUCAAGAUCUGUAAUCGUAUUAUAUUUUUUCUGGAUUCGUAGUUCAUUGGCCCAACGUUAAUUGGAAAGGUGAGUGUUACCUUGAUUUAUGUUUAACGCUUCGAGUUUGUUCCUAAAGCUGUGUUUUUGUUUUUUUUUUUUUUUUUUUUGUGCGACUUCCUAAAGCUGUGUUUUUUCUCCCUCACAUUCAUGUGUUUUUUGUUGCUGUUGUUUCUUGCAGUAUCCAACUCAGCAUACUUUGAUUGGUUGGUUCCC
rnacentral:lncRNA from 1 species